rnacentral:lncRNA from 1 species
GGGAUUUUGUUUUGUUUUCCUCUACCCAAAGGUAUAUUUCCCAAGAGAUAUAACUAAAACAUUCAAUAAUAUUUCUUUGUAUAGCAUCCAAUAAUGCAAUGGCUGGAAGACAAGAAAGCGAUGGAGUAGCUGGGCGGGUGCACUGGAUAUUAUCAAUAAUUUUGAUGCUGUGGAGUUACCAGAGCAGUGGACAAGGACAAGGUAGAUAUUUGGAUUUUAAUUUACUGGUCAUGAGCAUGAACAGCUAAAUCUUUAAAAAGAAAAAGAAAAC